rnacentral:rRNA from 1 species
UACGUAGGGGGCAAGCGUUGUCCGGAAUUAUUGGGCGUAAAGAGCGCGUAGGCGGUCCGAUAAGUCGGCUGUGAAAGUCAGGGGCUCAACCCUUGAAAGCCGGCCGAUACUGUCGGACUAGAGUCCGGAAGAGGCGAGUGGAAUUCCCGGUGUAGCGGUGAAAUGCGCAGAUAUCAGGAAGAACACCCGUGGCGAAGGCGGCUCUCUGGGACGGUACUGACGCUGAGACGCGAAAGCGUGGGGAGCGAACAGG